AUUGAACGCUGGCGGCAGGCCUAACACAUGCAAGUCGAGAGGAGCGGCGGACGGGAGAGUAAUGCCUAGGAAUCUGCCUGGUAGUGGGGGAUAACGUCCGGAAACGGGCGCUACUACAGAAUCCUAUUAGAUGAGCAUAGGUCGGAUUAGCUAGUGGGUGGGGUAAAGGCCUACCAAGGCGACGAUCCGUAAGUGGUCGGAGAGGAUGAUCAGUAACACUGGAACUGAGACACGGUCCAGACUCCUACGGGAGGCAGCAGUGGGGAAUAUUGGACAAUGGGCGAAAUCCUGAUCCAGCCAUGCCGCGUGUGGGAAGAAGGUCUUCGGAUUGUAAUGCACUUUAAGUUGGGAGGCGUUACCAACAGAGUAAGCACCGGCUAACUUCGUGCCAGCAGCCGCGGUAAUUC
rnacentral:rRNA from 1 species